rnacentral:piRNA from 1 species
UUCCCAUUUUUUCAUGGAAUCUAGGGA